CGGACGGGUGAGUAACACGUGGGUAACCUACCUAUAAGACUGGGAUAACUUCGGGAAACCGGAGCUAAUACCGGAUAAUAUUUUGAACCGCAUGGUUCAAAAGUGAAAGACGGUCUUGCUGUCACUUAUAGAUGGAUCCGCGCUGCAUUAGCUAGUUGGUAAGGUAACGGCUUACCAAGGCAACGAUGCAUAGCCGACCUGAGAGGGUGAUCGGCCACACUGGAACUGAGACACGGUCCAG
rnacentral:rRNA from 1 species